GGGCAGUGAGCAGAGUGGUCCCUGCAGAUGAUCUCACAGCCCUUGGCCUGGAUUCUGAGCCCAGCACCACCAGCCUUCCCCACCCCUCUCCUCACAGGGCUCUGUGGUAUAUGACUGCUUCGAGGCUGCCCUAGGGAGUGAGGUACGAAUCUGGUCCUAUACUCAGCCCAGGUACGAGAAGGAACUCAACCUCACACAGCAGCUGCCUGCCCUGCCCUGGCUCAACGUGUCAGCAGAUGGUGACAACGUGCAUCUUGUUCUGAAUGUCUCUGAGGAGCAGCACUUCGGCCUCUCCCUGUACUGGAAUCAGGUCCAGGGCCCCCCAAAACCCCGGUGGCACAAAAACCUGGUGAGGCCUCCCCCUUCCCAAGUCCAUUCCCACUGUAGGCCGAUGCCUGUGCAAAGGACGCAGUGCCUUAUCAAAGAAGACCCUUGAAGAGGACUCACCCCAAGCAAGGGAACACUGGUGGGGGAACUUCUGCCUUCCUGGUUUCCUUGACUUUGGCCUCCUUCUCUUCCUCCUUAUCUUCUCCAACCUCCUUCCUUUAUUUGUUCCACAGACUGGACCGCAAAUCAUUACCUUGAACCACACAGACC
rnacentral:sRNA from 1 species